rnacentral:rRNA from 1 species
GACGAACGCUGGCGGCGUGCUUAACACAUGCAAGUCGAACGGAAAGGCCCUGCUCUUGUGGGGUGCUCGUGUGGCGAACGGGUGAGUAACACGUGAGUAACCUGCCCUUGACUUUGGGAUAUCUUCAGGAAACUGGGGCUAAUACCGGAUAGGAGCUCCUGCAGCAUGUUGGGGGUUGGAAAGUUUCGGCGGUUGGGGAUGGUCUCGCGGCUUAUCAGCUUGUUGGUGGGGUAGUGGCUUACCAAGGCUUUGACGGGUAGCCGGCCUGAGAGGGUGACCGGCCACAUUGGGACUGAGAGACGGCCCAGACUCCUACGGGAGGCAGCAGUGGGGAAGAUUGCACAAUGGGCGGAAGCCUGAUGCAGCAACGCCGCGUGCGGGAUGACGGCCUUCGGGUUGUAAACCGCUUUCGCCUGUGACGAAGCGUGAGUGACGGUAAUGGGUAAAGAAGCACCGGCUAACUACGUG